rnacentral:rRNA from 1 species
ACGAACGCUGGCGGCGUGCUUCACACAUGCAAGUCGAACGGUGAAGCGCCUUCCUUUUUGGUGGGUGUGGAUGAGUGGCGAACGGGUGAGUAACACGUGAGUAACCUGCCCCCUUCUUCUGGAUAACCGCAUGAAAGUGUGGCUAAUACGGGAUAUUCUGGGUCUGUCGCAUGAUGGGUCUGGGAAAGAUAUUGUUUCGGUGGGGGAUGGGCUCGCGGCCUAUCAGCUUGUUGGUGGGGUGAUGGCCUACCAAGGCGGUGACGGGUAGCCGGCCUGAGAGGGAGGAGGGCCACAGGGGGACGGAGACCGGGCCGAGCCCCGGAGGGGGGGCGGGGGGGGGGAAUAGUGCAAGGGGGGCGCAAGCUUGAGGCGGGUGCGGCGCGGGGGGGAGGGGGGCUUGGGGGUUGGAACCCUCUUCGGCGGGGGAAGGGGGCCGGCCGGUUUUGUGGGGGGGUGGAGGGGAGGGGAAGAAGAAGCGCCGGCUAACUAGGGC